rnacentral:rRNA from 1 species
ACGGAGGAUGCAAGCGUUAUCCGGAAUGAUUGGGCGUAAAGCGUCCGCAGGUGGCUAUGUAAGUCUGCUGUUAAAGAGUGAGGCUCAACCUCAUAAGAGCAGUGGAAACUACAUAGCUAGAGUGCGUUCGGGGCAGAGGGAAUUCCUGGUGUAGCGGUGAAAUGCGUAGAUAUCAGGAAGAACACCGGUGGCGAAAGCGCUCUGCUAGGCCGCAACUGACACUGAGGGACGAAAGCUAGGGGAGCGAAUGGGA